CUGCUGACAUGUGCAAAAUGUGAUGCCUGAAUGUCACUGUGAGGUUCUCCACAGGUUUGUGCCUUAGAAGCAUCAUCGGCUUUGAUCAGCACGUCAAAGUGACGCAUUGCUCUGCAGCACUCACACCGUGUGACACCAAUUAAACGAGGAUGGAUAAAACUACCCCAAGCACACCUGCAUUUCACAGUAUCAUGAAAAGAAAAUCACUUCACCUUGCACCUGGCACUAACUAGACAGGAUUUGCUGGGUACCUGUGCUGCGAUAGCCAAGAUAUCAACACCAUGGACAACGCGACGUGGCCCAAGCCUUGACUGACACUUCACCUGACCCAGACAAGUCCAAGGACGAUGACGUUUUAAGCUUCCUGGACUUGACACGAUGACAACCGCCACGUGGUGCACUGGAAUCGGGGUGAAUCAGAUGGUGAGGCUCUCACCCUGGCGGGAGGGCAUCACAUUCUACGUGACCUUCUGAUGCCACCCACUCAAAAGUCGCCUACCUGCAAACACUGCUGAAGAUGGCAAAAUAAGGCCAAAACAGCUGUCAAGUGCUGGUACGGUGGCAUUAAAGUCAUAAACUCGUACACUAUGUGGAGUCAAAGAGCUUCAGCUUCCUUCUCUCUACAUACGUGCACAUUUCUGCGUACGUACCCAUAAACUGUGGAGUGUUGGGUUACGUUACGAGCUUACGUGCAGUCAUAUAGGGAAGCAACGAAAGCAAAAGGACGAUUUUAGAACGGGGCGGUAUUUAGUGUUCUUUUUUUUUUUCACAUGUAGUUUUUGAUCGCACAUUUUCAUUAACAGGAGGCGAAUCUUCUGCAUCAGGUUAUCUCUGGCUUACGUAAGUCUGUAGUACGCUAACGCAGUGUAAUCCCGUUAAUUCGAAACCUCUAAAUUCGAACUUCCGGGUAAUUCAAACUGACGCUCAGGUCCCGUCAAAGUCACGUGCAUUUCAAUGGGGGAAAAUGCCCGAUAAUUUGAACGUAUAAACACGCGCAACAGAUUAUUUGAAUGAGAUUGUCUCCCGCAUCGGCCUGGAAGCACCCACUUAUUAAGCGUUUACUUUGCUUAUUAUCAUGAUACAACCAUUACUUAUAAAAGCGAUACUUCUGCCAGAAGAAAGAGGAACAAGAAAUGAGUCACCAUAAUGGUGUGUGCAAGUUAGCCUCUCUGUGUUAAGGGGAUCAAGACCUUUCCCGUUGACAACACACCUAACAAAAAGGCGUGGAUGACAGCAGAUAUAUUCUCGAAUUGGGUCGGCGAUAUUUACGUUUGCGAUUGGGGGUUGGGCUCGACAUCGUAAUCGACGUCGAUCGAGUAGUGGCUGAAGAAACAAAUGCAACCGUGUGUAUCAGAUUAUUUUCUACCCUGAGAUGUUUUGAUGCUUGCCUGCAAAUAGAUAUUUUGGAAUGAACGAGCGUCUUAUAUUUCUGACAUCGCGUGACCCCAAGAGUGUGGCAAGGCC